rnacentral:rRNA from 1 species
UAUUAUGAGAGUUUGAUCCUGGCUCAGGACGAACGCUGGCGGCGUGCCUAAUACAUGCAAGUCGAACGCUUCUUUCCUCCCGAGUGCUUGCACUCAAUUGGAAAGAGGAGUGGCGGACGGGUGAGUAACACGUGGGUAACCUACCCAUCAGAGGGGGAUAACACUUGGAAACAGGUGCUAAUACCGCAUAACAGUUUAUGCCGCAUGGCAAAGAGUGAAAGGCGCUUUCGGGUGUCGCUGAUGGAUGGACCCGCGGUGCAUUAGCUAGUUGGUGAGGUAACGGCUCACCAAGGCCACGAUGCAUAGCCGACCUGAGAGGGUGAUCGGCCACACUGGACUGAGACACGGCCCAGACUCCUACGGGAGGCAGCAGUAGGGAAUCUUCGGCAAUGGACGAAAGUCUGACCGAGCAACGCCGCGUGAGUGAAGAAGGUUUUCGGAUCGUAAAACUCUGUUGUUAGAGAAGAACAAGGACGUUAGUAACUGAACGUCCCUGACGGUAUCUAACCAGAAAGCCACGGCUAACUACGUGCCAGCAGCCGCGGUAAUACGUAGGUGGCAAGCGUUGUCCGGAUUUAUUGGGCGUAAAGCGAGCGCAGGCGGUUUCUUAAGUCUGAUGUGAAAGCCCCCGGCUCAACCGGGGAGGGUCAUUGGAAACUGGGAGACUUGAGUGCAGAAGAGGAGAGUGGAAUUCCAUGUGUAGCGGUGAAAUGCGUAGAUAUAUGGAGGAACACCAGUGGCGAAGGCGGCUCUCUGGUCUGUAACUGACGCUGAGGCUCGAAAGCGUGGGGAGCAAACAGGAUUAGAUACCCUGGUAGUCCACGCCGUAAACGAUGAGUGCUAAGUGUUGGAGGGUUUCCGCCCUUCAGUGCUGCAGCAAACGCAUUAAGCACUCCGCCUGGGGAGUACGACCGCAAGGUUGAAACUCAAAGGAAUUGACGGGGGCCCGCACAAGCGGUGGAGCAUGUGGUUUAAUUCGAAGCAACGCGAAGAACCUUACCAGGUCUUGACAUCCUUUGACCACUCUAGAGAUAGAGCUUUCCCUUCGGGGACAAAGUGACAGGUGGUGCAUGGUUGUCGUCAGCUCGUGUCGUGAGAUGUUGGGUUAAGUCCCGCAACGAGCGCAACCCUUAUUGUUAGUUGCCAUCAUUUAGUUGGGCACUCUAGCGAGACUGCCGGUGACAAACCGGAGGAAGGUGGGGAUGACGUCAAAUCAUCAUGCCCCUUAUGACCUGGGCUACACACGUGCUACAAUGGGAAGUACAACGAGUCGCUAGACCGCGAGGUCAUGCAAAUCUCUUAAAGCUUCUCUCAGUUCGGAUUGCAGGCUGCAACUCGCCUGCAUGAAGCCGGAAUCGCUAGUAAUCGCGGAUCAGCACGCCGCGGUGAAUACGUUCCCGGGCCUUGUACACACCGCCCGUCACACCACGAGAGUUUGUAACACCCGAAGUCGGUGAGGUAACCUUUUUGGAGCCAGCCGCCUAAGGUGGGAUAGAUGAUUGGGGUGAAGUCGUAACAAGGUAGCCGUAUCGGAAGGUGCGGCUGGAUCACCUCCUUU